UACGUAGGGGGCGAGCGUUGUUCGGAAUUAUUGGGCGUAAAGCGCGUGUAGGCGGUUCGGUAAGUCGGAUGUGAAACCCCUGGGCUCAACCCAGGGCCUGCAUCCGCGACUGCCGGGCUAGAGUGUGGGAGGGGAGAGCGGAAUUCCUGGUGUAGCGGUGAAAUGCGUAGAUAUCAGGAGGAACACCGGUGGCGAAGGCGGCUCUCUGGACCAUAACUGACGCUGAGACGCGAAAGCUAGGGGAGCAAACAGG
rnacentral:rRNA from 1 species